UGGGGAAUAUUGCACAAUGGGGGAAACCCUGAUGCAGCAACGCCGCGUGAGUGAUGACGGUCUUCGGAUUGUAAAGCUCUGUCUUUAGGGACGAUAAUGACGGUACCUAAGGAGGAAGCCACGGCUAACUACGUGCCAGCAGCCGCGGUAAUACGUAGGUGGCAAGCGUUGUCCGGAUUUACUGGGCGUAAAGGGAGCGUAGGUGGAUAUUUAAGUGGAAUGUGAAAUACCCGGGCUUAACCUGGGUGCUGCAUUCCAAACUGGAUAUCUAGAGUGCAGGAGAGGAAAGGAGAAUUCCUGGUGUAGCGGUGAAAUGCGUAGAGAUUAGGAAGAACACCAGUGGCGAAGGCGAUUCUCUGGACUGUAACUGACGCUGAGGCUCGAAAGCGUGGGGAGCAAACAGG
rnacentral:rRNA from 2 species